AGGGGGGAGGUGUUGGCGGUGACAUACACGACUCCAAAUCAUGAGAACCGGGUUCGAAUCCCGGCCCCCCUG
rnacentral:tRNA from 1 species